UACGUAGGGUGCGAGCGUUAAUCGGAAUUACUGUGCGUAAAGCGUGCGCAGGCGGUUUUGUAAGCCAGAUGUGAAAUCCCCGGGCUUAACCUGGGAAUGGCAUUUGGGACUGCAAGGCUUGAGUGCGGCAGAGGAGACUGGAAUUCCUGGUGUAGCAGUGAAAUGCGUAGAUAUCAGGAGGAACACCGAUGGCGAAGGCAGGUCUCUGGGCUGACACUGACGCUCAUGCACGAAAGCGUGGGGAGCAAACAGG
rnacentral:rRNA from 1 species